rnacentral:rRNA from 1 species
UACGUAGGGGGCAAGCGUUGUCCGGAAUCAUUGGGCGUAAAGAGCGCGUAGGCGGUCCGGUAAGUCCGCUCUGAAAGUCCGGGGGCUCAACCCCCGGGAGGCGGGCGGAUACUGCCGGGCUAGAGUCCGGAAGAGGCGAGUGGAAUUCCUGGUGUAGCGGUGAAAUGCGCAGAUAUCAGGAGGAACACCGGUGGUGUAGACGGCUCACUGGACCAUAACUGACGCUGAGACACGAAAGCGUGGGUAGCAAACAGG